rnacentral:rRNA from 1 species
AACGAACGCUGGCGGCGUGCUUAACACAUGCAAGUCGAACGCGAAAGGGACUUCGGUCCCGAGUAGAGUGGCGCACGGGUGAGUAACGCGUAAGUAAUCUACCCCUGUAUCUGGAAUAACCCACCGAAAGGUGAGCUAAUACCGGAUACGUUUAUCUUGAUGCGAAUGAUGAUAAAGAAAGGUGGCCUCUUCAUGAAAGCUACCGUACAGGGACGAGCUUGCGUACCAUUAGCUGGUUGGUAGGGUAAUGGCCUACCAAGGCGACGAUGGUUAGCGGGUCUGAGAGGAUGAUCCGCCACACUGGAACUGAAACACGGACCAGACUCCUACGGGAGGCAGCAGUGAGGAAUAUUGCGCAAUGGGGGCAACCCUGACGCAGCGACGCCGCGUGGACGAUGAAGGCCCUUGGGUCGUAAAAUCCUGUCAGAUGGAAAGAAAUGUACAGGUGUUAAUAUCGCCUGUAUUUGACGGUACCAUCAAAGGAAGCACCGGCUAACUCCGUG